GACGGACGCUGGCGGCGUGCCUAAUACACGCCAGUAGGACGCACAGGAUGCACCGUAGUUUACUACACCGUAUUCUGUGAGUUGCGAACGGGUGAGUCACGCGUAGGUAACCUGCCUGGUAGCGGGGGAUAACUAUUGGAAACAGAUAGCUAAUACCGCAUAAGAACAUUUACUGCAUGGUAGAUGUUUAAAAGGUGCAAAAGCAUCACUACCAGAUGGACCUGUGUUGUAUUAGCUAGUUGGUGAGGUAACGGCUCACCAACGCAACGAUACAUAGCCGACCUGAGAGGGUGAUCGGCCACACUGGGACUGAGACACGGCCCAGACUCGUACGGGAGGCAGCAGUAGGGAAUCUCCGGCAAUGGCGGGGAACCCUGACCGAGCAACGCCGCGUGAGUGAAGAAGGUUUUCGGAUCGUAAAGCUCUGUUGUUAAGGAAGAACGUGUGUGAGAGUGGAAAGUUCACACAGUGACGGUACUUAACCAGAAAGGGACGGCUAACUACGUGCCAGCAGCCGCGGUAAUACGUAGGUCCCGAGCGUUGUCCGGAUUUAUUGGGCGUAAAGCGAGCGCAGGCGGUUAGAUAAGUCUGAAGUGAAAGGCAGUGGCUCAACCAUUGUAGGCUUUGGAAACUGUUUAACUUGAGUGCAGAAGGGGAGAGUGGAAUUCCAUGUGUAGCGGUGAAAUGCGUAGAUAUAUGGAGGAACACCGGUGGCGAAAGCGGCUCUCUGGUCUGUAACUGACGCUGAGGCUCGAAAGCGUGGGGAGCGAACAGGAUUAGAUACCCUGGUAGUCCACGCCGUAAACGAUGAGUGCUAGGUGUUAGGUCCUUUCCGGGACUUAGUGCCGCAGCUAACGCAUUAAGCACUCCGCCUGGGGAGUACGACCGCAAGGUUGAAACUCAAAGGAAUAGACGGGGGCCGCACAAGCGGUGGAGCAUGUGGUUUAAUUCGAAGCAACGCGAAGAACCUUACCAGGUCUUGACAUCCCUCUGACCACUCUAGA
rnacentral:rRNA from 1 species